rnacentral:lncRNA from 1 species
AGUAGUUGGUGAACAUUCAAAAAAUCCACCAAAUGUUACUGUGUUUGAGAACUUAUUAAGUACCUUUUAAUGGUAUUUUUCAAGCAACAUGACUGCCUCUUGCACUCAAGCAGCUUACAGUCUAGUGGAGAAGAUAUGUAAAGAUAACAGUGUCACUUCUCCGUCCUGAGAUGUUGCAUGUUGCAGAUGAAUAGAUCUUUCUAAUGUUCCAGAAUCUAUGAUUUGAUAUUACCAACAUAAAUCACUGAGGCAUGUAAUUACAAGAAUGAAGAG